rnacentral:rRNA from 1 species
UAGGGAAUCUUCGGCAAUGGGGGGAACCCCGACCGAGCAACGCCGCGUGAGUGAAGAAGGUUUUCGGAUCGUAAAGCUCUGUUGUUAAGGAAGAACGAGUGUGAGAAUGGAAAGUUCAUACUGUGACGGUACUUAACCAGAAAGGGACGGCUAACUACGUGCCAGCAGCCGCGGUAAUACGUAGGUCCCGAGCGUUGUCCGGAUUUAUUGGGCGUAAAGCGAGCGCAGGCGGUUAGAUAAGUCUGAAGUUAAAGGCAGUGGCUCAACCAUUGUAGGCUUUGGAAACUGUUUAACUUGAGUGCAGAAGGGGAGAGUGGAAUUCCAUGUGUAGCGGUGAAAUGCGUAGAUAUAUGGAGGAACACCGGUGGCGAAAGCGGCUCUCUGGUCUGUAACUGACGCUGAGGCUCGAAAGCGUGGGGAGCGAACAGG